rnacentral:rRNA from 1 species
ACGGAAGGUCCGGGCGUUAUCCGGAUUUAUUGGGUUUAAAGGGAGUGUAGGCGGCCUGUUAAGCGUGUUGUGAAAUGUAGAUGCUCAACAUCUGAACUGCAGCGCGAACUGGCUGGCUUGAGUACACGCAACGUGGGCGGAAUUCAUGGUGUAGCGGUGAAAUGCUUAGAUAUCAUGAAGAACUCCUAUUGCGAAGGCAGCUCACGGGAGUGUCACUGACGCUUAAGCUCGAAGGUGCGGGUAUCAAACAG